UCGAACGGUAACAGGAAACAGCUUGCUGUUUCGCUGACGAGUGGCGGACGGGUGAGUAAUGUCUGGGAAACUGCCUGAUGGAGGGGGAUAACUACUGGAAACGGUAGCUAAUACCGCAUAACGUCGCAAGACCAAAGAGGGGGACCUUCGGGCCUCUUGCCAUCGGAUGUGCCCAGAUGGGAUUAGCUAGUAGGUGGGGUAAAGGCUCACCUAGGCGACGAUCCCUAGCUGGUCUGAGAGGAUGACCAGCCACACUGGAACUGAGACACGGUCCAGACUCCUACGGGAGGCAGCAGUGGGGAAUAUUGCACAAUGGGCGCAAGCCUGAUGCAGCCAUGCCGCGUGUAUGAAGAAGGCCUUCGGGUUGUAAAGUACUUUCAGCGGGGAGGAAGGGAGUAAAGUUAAUACCUUUGCUCAUUGACGUUACCCGCAGAAGAAGCACCGGCUAACUCCGUGCCAGCAGCCGCGGUAAUACGGAGGGUGCAAGCGUUAAUCGGAAUUACUGGGCGUAAAGCGCACGCAGGCGGUUUGUUAAGUCAGAUGUGAAAUCCCCGGGCUCAACCUGGGAACUGCAUCUGAUACUGGCAAGCUUGAGUCUCGUAGAGGGGGGUAGAAUUCCAGGUGUAGCGGUGAAAUGCGUAGAGAUCUGGAGGAAUACCGGUGGCGAAGGCGGCCCCCUGGACGAAGACCGACGCUCA
rnacentral:rRNA from 1 species